rnacentral:rRNA from 1 species
AUGGCCAGCUUCGCCUCCCAGCUCCUGGACGUAUUCUACGACCUCGUCGAGCGCGUCACCGGCUACAGCGCCCGCGCCGAGGACGACAAGGACCUACAGAAGCACAGCAAGUUGGCAACAACGGAGGUUUUCCGGACGGAGGAAGUUGUCGAGAUCAGGUCCAGGAAUCUCCCGGUUGUAUCAGGAGGGUCAGGCGCGCAGGUCAACAUGGAUGGCAUGUAG